rnacentral:lncRNA from 1 species
AUGAACAUGCAAAAGAGAUUGAUUCAAUUGACAAGAAGAAAACAAUGGAUGAAUGGAGUUGCUGGGGGUUUACAAUUUCAUCUUAUCCGCUCUCUCUUAUUUAGUCCUCUUGAUUUAUUAGCUUGAUUAAUUAAUUGUCAUGCAGCUUUCUUAGCCUACCCUUAACCCGAUCCCUUGGCGAAAAGAGCCUAUUAGUAAUUACUGGUUUGCUAUCCCUAGCCUCCCCUAGCAAUUAAUAAAGCAUUAUAAAGCAGAAGUUAAAAGCAAUUGAUCGUCCUACCCCUAUCCCUAGGUGGUAUUGCAUAAUCAAGGAAUUACUCACCAGUUCAUGACAUUACUGUACGUCC